UUAAGCAUAUCAAUAAGCGGAGGAAAAGAAACCAACAGGGAUUGCCUCAGUAACGGCGAGUGAAGCGGCAACAGCUCAAAUUUGAAAUCUGGCUCCUUGGGGGUCCGAGUUGUAAUUUGUAGAGGAUGCUUCGGGUGCGGCACCGGUCUAAGUCCCUUGGAACAGGGCGUCAUAGAGGGUGAGGAUCCCGUAUGUGACCGGCGACCAAGCCCAUGUGAAGCUCCUUCGACGAGUCGAGUUGUUUGGGAAUGCAGCUCAAAAUGGGUGGUAAAUUUCAUCUAAAGCUAAAUACCGGCCAGAGACCGAUAGCGCACAAGUAGAGUGAUCGAAAGAUGAAAAGCACUUUGGAAAGAGAGUCAAAAAGUACGUGAAAUUGUUGAAAGGGAAGCCCUUGUAACCAGACCUGCCGUCGGGGGCUCCGCGGGCAUUCUUGCCCGUUUACUCUCCCGCGAUCAGGCCAGCAUCGGUUUUGGCGGCCGGAUAAAGACUCGAGGAAUGUAGCUUCGCUUCGGGGAAGUGUUAUAGCCUCUUGUGCAAUACGGUCAGCCGGGACCGAGGACCGCGCUUCGGCUAGGAUGCUGGCGUAAUGGUUGCAAGCGACCCGUCUUGAAACACGGACCAAGGAGUCUAACAUCUAUGCGAGUGUUUGGGUGUCAAACCCAUGCGCGGAAUGAAAGUGAACGGAGGUGGGAACCCUUAAGGGCGCACCAUCGACCGAUCCGGAAGUUUACGGAUGGAUUUGAGUAUGAGCAUAGCUGUUGGGACCCGAAAGGUAAGAUCGUCCCGACAACUCUACUCCCCCAAGCCCAUGCUAACAUUUUGAUCAGAUGGUGAACUAUGCCUGAAUAGGGUGAAGCCAGAGGAAACUCUGGUGGAGGCUCGCAGCGGUUCUGACGUGCAAAUCGAUCGUCAAAUUUGGGUAUAGGGGCGAAAGACUAAUCGAACCAUCUAGUAGCUGGUUCCUGCCGAAGUUUCGUAAGUUCUGAGGACCACCCCCGAAUGAGUUCUUGCUAACAAUCUCAACAGCCUCAGGAUAGCAGUAACGUUUUCAGUUUUAUGAGGUAAAGCGAAUGAUUAGAGGUCUGGGGGAUGAAACAUCCUUCACCUAUUCUCAAACUUUCAAUAUGUAAGAAGUCCUUGUUACUUAGUUGAACGUGGACAUUUGAAUGCACCGUUACUAGUGGGCCAUUUUUGGUAAGCAGAACUGGCGAUGCGGGAUGAACCGAACGUGGGGUUAAGGUGCCGGAAUGUACGCUCAUCAGACACCAAGGGGACGACUUGUGGUGUCCUGCCGGGGGAUAGACCCCCCGGCAUCAGUCUGCGAAAGGCGAGGUCUUUGACCUGUAGGGGCCGGCGGUCGCUCCGGCGAUGGCUUACCCUCUGCUGUCCCAUGACCGGGGCAGCUCACAGAUCAAGCAAAGGCCGGCGGCAGUACGCCGUUGGAGAUAUGAUCGGCCCCCGAAGGUUCACUUCGGGGAGCAAGUGCAAAAGGUGUUGAUUCAUCUAGACAGCCGGACGGUGGCCAUGGAAGUCGGAAUCCGCUAAGGAGUGUGUAACAACUCACCGGCCGAAUGAAUCAG
rnacentral:rRNA from 1 species